GGACACGAGGGCAAUCCAGCUGUGGCAUCUGUCACCCCUGACACUGGGCUGACUCAGCUGACCUGGCUGGGUAGGCGCGUGUACCCCUCCUCCCUUGCGGCUCUAUGCGUGUGCCCCUCCCGAAGCUGCGCCCCUGGAUGGAAGCUGCGCCCCUGGAUGGAGAGGGACCGCGUCCUCAGAAGUAUACAAGCCGCUGCACUCCCCUGCUAGGACCUCCAAACAAGCUCCUAAGUUUGCAUUAUUUUUCCAUUUGAGAUCUGCUUUGAUCUAGGCAUUAACUGGAGACUCAGCUUUGCU
rnacentral:snRNA from 1 species